rnacentral:rRNA from 1 species
AUUCCAGCUCCAAUAGUGUAUAUUAAAGUUGUUGCAGUUAAAAAGCUCGUAGUUGGAUUUCUGGCGGGAGCGAUCGGUCCUUCACUCAGUGUUGGAACCUGAUUGUCUCCUGCCAUCCAUGGAGAAAACUUAUCUGGCAUUAAGUUGUCGGGUAGGCAAUCUCCAUCUUUUACUGUGAAAAAAUUAGAGUGUUCAAAGCAGGCUUAUGCCGUUGAAUAUAUUAGCAUGGAAUAAUAAGAUAGGACUAUGGUACUAUUUUGUUGGUUUAUGGGAUCGAAGUAAUGAUUAACAGGGACAGUUGGGGCCGUUUAUAUUUCGUUGUCAGAGGUGAAAUUCUCGGAUUUACGAAAGAUAAACUUCUGCGAAAGCAUUCGGCAAGGAUGUUUUCAUCA